rnacentral:rRNA from 1 species
AGAGUUUGAUCCUGGCUCAGGGCUAACGCUGGCGGCGUGUCUUAGCCAUGCAAGUCGAGCGGACUUAUGGGGUAACUUAUAAGUCAGCGGCGGACGGCGGAGUAACACGUAGCUAACCUACCCUCUGGACGGGGAUAACCUACCGAAAGGUGGGCUAAUACCCGAUGUAGUCAUCCUGUAUAGGGGUGAUGAAAGGUGGGCUUCUGUUUACAAGCUCAUGCUGGAGGAGGGGGCUGCGGCCUAUCAGGUAGUUGGUAGGGUAAUAGCCUACCAAGUCGAUGACGGGUAGCCGGCCUGAGAGGGUGACCGGCCCGAGGGGCACUGAGAUACGGGUCCCACUCCUACGGGAGGCAGCAGGCUAGAAAUUUGGGCAAUGGGGGAAACCCUGACCCAGUGACGCCGCGUGCAGGAAGGAGCCCUUCGGGGUGUAAACUGCUGUCGUGUAGGGAGAAGGGUACUAAGGUGAACAAUCUUAGUACUUGACGGUACUACAGGAGGAAGCCCAGGCUAACCUCGUGCCAGCAGCCGCGGUAAUACGGGGUGGGCGAGCGUUGCCCGGAAUUACUGGGUUUAAAGGGGGUGUAGGCGGUCUGGAUAGUCGGGUGUGUAAUGCAAUCGCUCAACGAUUGAGCUGCAUCUGAUACUUCCAGGCUAGAGGGCGGUAGAGGAGAGCGGAACUCCCGGUGUAGCGGUGGAAUGCGUAGAUAUCGGGAGGAACGCCGGUGGCGAAGGCGGCUCUCUGGGCCGUUCCUGACGCUGAGGCCCGAAAGCUGGGGGAGCGAAAGGGAUUAGAUACCCCUGUAGUCCCAGCCGUAAACGAUGGGCACUAGGUGUACCUUUUAACGGAGGUAUACCGUCGGGAAACCAAUAAGUGCCCCACCUGGGGAGUACGCCCGCAAGGAUGAAACUCAAUGAAAUUGACGG